AAAUUGAAGAGUUUGAUCAUGGCUCAGAUUGAACGCUGGCGGCAGGCCUAACACAUGCAAGUCGAACGGUAACAGGAAGCAGCUUGCUGCUUCGCUGACGAGUGGCGGACGGGUGAGUAAUGUCUGGGAAACUGCCUGAUGGAGGGGGAUAACUACUGGAAACGGUAGCUAAUACCGCAUAACGUCGCAAGACCAAAGAGGGGGACCUUCGGGCCUCUUGCCAUCGGAUGUGCCCAGAUGGGAUUAGCUUGUUGGUGGGGUAACGGCUCACCAAGGCGACGAUCCCUAGCUGGUCUGAGAGGAUGACCAGCCAC
rnacentral:rRNA from 1 species